rnacentral:rRNA from 1 species
UCAUUAGAUACUCAGUUCGGAUUGUGGGCUGCAACCCGCCCACAUGAAGUUGGAGUUGCUAGUAAUCGCGAAUCAGCAUGUCGCGGUGAAUACGUUCCCGGGCCUUGUACACACCGCCCGUCACACCAUGGGAGUUGAGAGCACCCGAAGUCAGUGAGGGAACCGAAAGGGCCCAGCUGCCGAAGGUGAGAUCGAUGACUGGGGUGAAGUCGUAACAAGGUAUC